GUGCCAGCAGCCGCGGUAAUACGGAGGAUGCAAGCGUUAUCCGGAUUUAUUGGGUUUAAAGGGUGCGCAGGCGGCUUGUUAAGCGGGAGGUGAAAUGCCGGCGCUCAACGUCGGAAGUGCCUCCCGAACUGGUGAGCUUGAAUGACUCUGCCGUGGGAGGAAUGUGUAGUGUAGCGGUGAAAUGCUUAGAGAUUACACAGAACACCGAUUGCGAAGGCAUCUCACGAAGGGUUGAUUGACGCUGAGGCACGAAAGCGUGGGGAUCAAACAGGAUUAGAUACCCUGGUAGUCCACGCAGUAAACGAUGAUGGCUAACCGCUGGGCUAUCCGGUUCAGUGGCCAAGCGAAAGCGAUAAGCCAUCCACCUGGGGAGUACGACCGCAAGGUUGAAACUCAAAGGAAUUGACGGGGGCCCGCACAAGCGGAGGAACAUGUGGUUUAAUUCGAUGAUACGCGAGGAACCUUACCCGGGCUCGAACGGCUGGUGAACGACACAGAGAUGUGAAGAUCCUUCGGGACGCCAGUCGAGGUGCUGCAUGGUUGUCGUCAGCUCGUGCCGUGAGGUGUCGGCUCAAGUGCCAUAACGAGCGCAACCCUUGCCGUCAGUUACCAUCAAGUAGUGUUGGGGACUCUGGCGGGACUGCCACCGCAAGGUGUGAGGAAGGGGGGGAUGACGUCAAAUCAGCACGGCCCUUACGUCCGGGGCGACACACGUGUUACAAUGGCGGCCACAGAGGGGCACUACCUGGCGACAGGAUGGGAAUCUCGAAAAGCCGUCUCAGUCCGGAUCGGAGUCUGCAACCCGACUCCGUGAAGCUGGAUUCGCUAGUAAUCGCGCAUCAGCCAUGGCGCGGUGGAUACGUUCCCGGGCCUUGUACACACCGCCCGU
rnacentral:rRNA from 1 species